rnacentral:lncRNA from 1 species
UUAUAAUGAGAUUUUGGGUGAUAAUUGAAGAGGACAUCGUGGGCUUUCCAACGGUAUCAAAAUUCGACAUUCUUUGUGGUCGGAAGUUGUCGAAAAUUUGUCGUAAAAGUCGCCCAAUUAUUUGAAGAGACGAGUGAUGAAUGAGUAAUUAUAUGAAAAGAUGAGUGAGCAUUCAGUAAUAUGUGAAAGAUGAGUGAGCAAGUAGUAAUCAAGUGUAAAGUUCAGUGAUUAUUGGUUAAAUUUACUC